rnacentral:tRNA from 1 species
CCGGGCCCUGGUGCGGCUCUCGCGCGACGGCGCCGACGCCGUCGUGGUCCGCGAGUUCGACCUCGUGACCCGGA